rnacentral:rRNA from 1 species
UUCCAGACUCCUACGGGAGGCAGCAGUGAGGAAUAUUGGUCAAUGGCCGGAAGGCUGAACCAGCCAAGCCGCGUGAAGGACGAAGGUGCCAAGCAUUGUAAACUUCUUUUGUCAAGGGACAAAAUCAGGCUCGAGAGCCUGACCGAGGGUACUUGAAGAAAAAGCAUCGGCUAACUCCGUGCCAGCAGCCGCGGUAAUACGGAGGAUGCGAGCGUUAUCCGGAUUUAUUGGGUUUAAAGGGUGCGUAGGCGGACUUUAAAGCCGGCGGUAAAAGCCCGGGGCCCACCCCCGGCGAGCCGUUGAAACUGGCUGCCUUGAGAUGUCGAGAGGUAUGCGGAAUGCGCAGUGUAGCGGUGAAAUGCUUAGAUAUUGCGCAGAACUCCGAUUGCGAAGGCAGCAUACCGGCGGCGAUCUGACGCUGAGGCACGAAAGCGUGGGUAUCGAACAGGAUUAGAUACCCCCGUAC